rnacentral:tRNA from 1 species
CGUAGCAAAAUCUGGCUUUGCCAAAGAUCUAAGCCCUUUUUAUAGAAGUUCAAAUCUUCUCGAUAGCU